rnacentral:rRNA from 1 species
GACUACUAGGGUAUCUAAUCCUGUUUGCUCCCCACGCUUUCGCACCUCAGCGUCAGUAUCGAGCCAGUGAGCCGCCUUCGCCACUGGUGUUCCUCCGAAUAUCUACGAAUUUCACCUCUACACUCGGAAUUCCACUCACCUCUCUCGACCUCAAGACUACCAGUAUCGAAGGCAGUUCCGGGGUUGAGCCCCGGGAUUUCACCCCCGACUUAAUAAUCCGCCUACGUGCGCUUUACGCCCAGUAAUUCCGAACAACGCUAGCCCCCUCCGUAUUACCGCGGCUGCUGGCACGGAGUUAGCCGGGGCUUCUUCUGCUGGUACCGUCAUUAUCUUCCCAGCUGAAAGAGCUUUACAACCCUAAGGCCUUCAUCGCUCACGCGGCAUGGCUAGAUCAGGGUUUCCCCCAUUGUCUAAGAUUCCCCACUGCAGCCCCCCGUAGG